rnacentral:rRNA from 1 species
GACGAACGCUGGCGGCGUGCUUAACACAUGCAAGUCGAACGGAAAGGCCCUGCUUUUGUGGGGUGCUCGAGUGGCGAACGGGUGAGUAACACGUGAGUAACCUGCCCUUGACUUUGGGAUAACUUCAGGAAACUGGGGCUAAUACCGGAUAGGAGCUCCUGCUGCAUGGUGGGGGUUGGAAAGUUUCGGCGGUUGGGGAUGGACUCGCAGCUUAUCAGCUUGUUGGUGGGGUAGUGGCUUACCAAGGCUUUGACGGGUAGCCGGCCUGAGAGGGGGACCGGCCACAUUGGGACUACGAUACGGCCCAGACUCCUACGGGAGGCAGCAGGGGGGAAUAUUGCACAAUGGGCGGAAGCCUGAUGCAGCAACGCCGCGUGCGGGAUGACGGCCUUCGGGUUGUAAACCGCUUUCGCCUGUGACGAAGCGUGAGUGACGGUAAUGGGUAAAGAAGCACCGGCUAACUACGUG